rnacentral:rRNA from 1 species
CAGUAGCCGCGGGAAAACGUAGGGUGCGAGCGUUAAUCGGAAUUACUGGGCGUAAAGCGUGCGCAGGCGGUUCGUUAAGACAGAUGUGAAAUCCCCGGGCUUAACCUGGGAACUGCAUUUGUGACUGGCGAGCUAGAGUAUGGCAGAGGGGGGUAGAAUUCCACGUGUAGCAGUGAAAUGCGUAGAGAUGUGGAGGAAUACCGAUGGCGAAGGCAGCCCCCUGGGCCAAUACUGACGCUCAUGCACGAAAGCGUGGGGAGCAAACAGGAUUAGAUACCCCGGUAGUCCCUGUCUCUUAUAA